UCUCCUCUCAGUUGAGACUACCAAGCAGA
rnacentral:piRNA from 1 species